UACGUGAGGGGGCAAGCGUUAGUCCGGAUUUUAUUUGGGGUCGUUAAAGGAGCGAGUGUAGGCGGCCAGUUCAGGUCAGCGUGUGAAAACUCGAGGCUACAACCUCGAAGACGUCGGUUUGAAACCGUUUGGCUAGCAGUCCGGAAGAGGUAGAGGUGGAAAUUCCCGGGUGUGAGCGGUGGAAAAUUGCGGCAGGUAGUAUCGGGAAAGAACGACC
rnacentral:rRNA from 1 species